CCUACGGGAGACAGCAGUGAGGAAUAUUGGUCAAUGGACGAGAGUCUGAACCAGCCAAGUAGCGUGAAGGAUGACUGCCCUAUGGGUUGUAAACUUCUUUUAUAAAGGAAUAAAACGAGGCACGUGUGCCUUUUUGCAUGUACUUUAUGAAUAAGGAUCGGCUAACUCCGUGCCAGCAGCCGCGGUAAUACGGAGGAUCCGAGCGUUAUCCGGAUUUAUUGGGUUUAAAGGGAGCGUAGAUGGGUUGUUAAGUCAGUUGUGAAAGUUUGCGGCUCAACCGUAAAAUUGCAAUUGAUACUGGCAGUCGUGAGUACAGUUGAGGUAGGCGGAAUUCGUGGUGUAGCGGUGAAAUGCUUAGAUAUCACGAAGAACCCCGAUUGCGAAGGCAGCUUACUAAACUGUGACUGACAUUGAUGCUCGAAAGUGUGGGUAUCAAACAGGAUUAGAUACCCCUGUAGUC
rnacentral:rRNA from 1 species